UACAGAGGGUGCAAGCGUUAAUCGGAAUUACUGGGCGUAAAGCGUGCGUAGACGGUUAUGUAAGUCGGGUGUGAAAGCCCCGGGCUCAACCCUGGGAAUGCCAUUCGAGACUGCAUAGCUAGGGUGCGGAAGAGGGAAGCGGAAUUUCCGGUGUGAGCGGUGAAAUGCGUAGAUAUACGGAAGGAACACCAGUGGCGAAAGCGGCUUCCUGGUCCAGCACCGACGUCAGGCACGAAAGCGUGGGGAGCAAACAGG
rnacentral:rRNA from 1 species